UAUAUUUGAAUCGGUGGUUCACUUUUUCUAAGUAAUGGGGAAGAGGACCGAAACUUGCCACUGAAAGACUCUAAUGAGACAAAAAUGGGUUGUCAAGAACGUAGAGGAUGUAGGAUGGGCAGUUCGUCAGAUUUAGUAUGGAUUGUACAUGGACGGUAGUUGGAGUCGGAAGCUCUCCCAGGGUUCUCUUAUCUGAUAUCUCUAGGGAAGAGGAUCAAGUUGGACCUUGUGAAUAUCUUGAUGCACUAUCUCUCUUCAAUACUUUAAGUGACAUGCGACAAAAGAAAAGAAAGAAAAAUCCAUGGACUGACCCCAUCAUCUCCACCCCGUAGGAACUGUAUGAUUACCCCAAGGACACCUUCGGUAUCUAGGGGUCACAGACUAACCAUAGAACCCUGUUCAAUAAGUGGAACGUAUUAGUUGUCAGCUCUCAAGUUAGGCAGGCAGGGUUGGAGAAGGGCAAUGACUUAUUCUUAAAACCAGCGUUCUUAAGAACAAAGAGUUGGGCAGAAAGAGGGGAAAGCCCUCUAUUUCUGGUUCUCUUGUAGUUGGAUCCUUCGGAACUAUAAGAAUCUUUAGUUAGAAUGGGAUUCCAGCUUAGCACCUUUUAAGUGAGAUUUUGAAAAGAGUUACUCUAUGGAAAGAAUAGUACGAUGAAAGUUGUAAGCUAUGUUCGGGGGGAGCUAUUAUCUAUCAUUAGCCUCUAUGGUAGAAUCGAUUAGGGGACCUGAGAGGCGGUGGUUUACCCUGCGAUGGAUAUCAGAAGUUCGAGUCCGCUCAUCUCCACCUCGUGAACUUAGCCUAUACAAAACUUUAUGAUAGCACCUAAUUUUUUAUAUUCGGAGGUUAGAUCUAUGAUUUAUCAUUCAUAGAUGUAGAUAAGAUCCAUCCGCUUAGCAGCACCUUAGGAUGACAUAGCCUUAAAAGUGAAGGGUGAGGUUCAAAUAAGGAAAGGCUUACGGUGGAUACCUAGGCACCCAGAGACGAGAAAGGGUGUAGUAAUCGACGAAAUGCUUCAAGGAGUUGAAAAUAAGCAUAGAUCCAGAGAUUCCCAAAUAGGGAAACCUUUUCAACUAUUGCUGAAUCCAUGGGCAGGUAAGAGACAACCUGGCAAACUAAAACAUCUUAGUAUCUAGAGAAAAAGAAAGCAAAAGAGAUUCCCGUAGUAGUGGUGAGCGAAAUAGGAGCAUCCUAAACCAUGAAAAUAGGGUUGUGAGAGAGAAAUAAUGCAAACAUUGGUGAGAGUCCAAUGCCUCGAAAACCUAAGGGUUCCUCCACAAGGUUCGUCCAGGGUAAGUUAGGUCCUAAGAUCAGGACAAAAGGCGUAUUCGAUGAACAACAGGUGAAUAUUCUUGUACUACCCCUUAUUAGUCCCAAGGGACAGAGGAGGUUAGGUUAGCCAAAAGAUAGUUAUCAAUUCAAGAAUUUAAGGUGUCCAUUCUCUUUUUUCAGGGUAAGAAGGGGUAGAGAAAAUUUCUCUAGACAAUGUUCGAAUACCAGGUGCUAUGGUGCUGAAGUAACCAAUUCCAUACUCCCAGGAAAAGCUCGAAUAACUUUAAAUAUGAGGGUACCUGUACACAAAAUUGACAUAGGUAGGUAGGUAUAUAAUACCUAGGCGAGUGAGACAACUCUCUCUAAGGAACUCAAAAAAAUAGCCCUAUAACUUUAGGAGAAGAGAUGUCUCUUCACAUCACAAAGGGGGUCACAGUGACUAGGCACGGGAGAAUGUUCACCAAAAACACAGGUCUUCGUAAAGUCAUAACACCAUGUAUGGGGGGAUGAUGCCUGCCCAAUGCCGGAAGGUCAAGGAAGUUGGUGACCUGAUGACAGGGGAGCCGGCGACCUAAGCCUCGAUAAAUGACAGUCGUAACUAUAAUGGUCCUAAGGUAGCAAAAUUCCUUGUUAGGUAAGUUCUGAAUGGAAUGAAAGAUGUAAUAAUCUGGGCACUGCCUCAGAGAGAGGCUCGAUGAAAUAGACAUAUCUGUGAAGAUGCAAACUAGCUGCACCUAGACAGGAAGACGAUAUAAAGUUUCACUGUUCCCUAGGAUUGGCUUUGGUCCUUUCCUGUGCAGCUUAGGUGAAAGGCGAAGAAGGUCGUCUUCCGGGGAGCCUGAGCCAUCAGUAAGAUACCACUUUGGAAGGGCUAGAAUUCUAACUUUGUGUAAGGACCUGCGGGCCAAAGGACAGUCUCAGGUACACAGUUUCUAUGGGGCGUAGGACUCCCAAAAGGUAAUAUAGGCAUCCAAAGGUUUUUUCGAGCCGGACGAAGAUUGACCCUCGAGUGCAAAGGCAGAAGAGAGCUUGACUGCAAGACCCACCCGUCGAGCAGGGAUGAAAGUCAGCCUUAGUGAUCCGUCGGUGCUGAGUGGAAGGUUCGUCACUCAACGGAUAAAAGUUACUCUAGGGAUAACAGGUUGAUCUUCCCCAACAUCUCACAUCGAUGGAAAGGUUUGGCACCUCGAUGUCGACUCUUCGCCACCUGGGACUAUAGUAUGUUCCAAGGGUUGGGUUGUUCGCCCAUUAAAGCGGUACGUAAGUUGGCUUUAGAACGUUGUGAAACUGUUUGAUCCAUAUUCGGUGUGGGCGUUAGAGCAUUGCAAGGACCUUUGCCUAGUAAGAGAGGAUCGAGAAGGACGCACUUCUGGUGUACCAGUUAUCAUGCCCAUGAUAAACGUUGGGUAGCCAAGUGCGGAACAGAUAACUACUGAAAGCAUCUAAGUAGUAAGCCUACCCCAAGAUAAGUGGUCGCCUAUUCUGACUUCCCCAGAGCUUCUGGUAGCACAGCCGAGACAGGGACAGGUUCUCUGCCCCUGCGGGGAUGGAGCGACAAAAGCUUUUUUGAGAANUAAAAAAACUGACCACUUGUGGUCGGUUUUAUUUAA
rnacentral:rRNA from 1 species